AAUGUCGUAACAAGGUCUCCGUAGGUGAACCUGCGGAGGGCAUCAUUACAAGGUGACCCCGGGUCUAACCACCGGGAUGUUCAUAACCCUUUGUUGUCCGACUCUGUUGCCUCCGGGGGUCGACCCUGCCUUUCGGGCGGGGGCCUCCGGGUGGACACUUCAAAUCUCUUGCGUAACUUUGCGUCGAGUAACUUAUAUAAUUAAAG
rnacentral:misc_RNA from 1 species